rnacentral:rRNA from 1 species
AAACCAACAGNGAUUNCCUUAGUAACNGCGAGUGAAGCGGUAAAUGCUCAAAUUUGAAAGCUGCCAACAGGCCGCGUUGUAAUUUGUAGAAGAUGCUUUGGGUGUCGGCCCAGUCUAAGUUCCUUGGNACAGGACGUCAUAGAGGGUGAGAAUCCCGUAUGUGAUUGGUGCCGUCCCCCGUGUAAAGCUCUUUCGACGAGUCGAGUUGUUUGGGAAUGCAGCUCAAAAUGGGUGGUAAAUUUCAUCUAAAGCUAAAUAUUGGCCAGAGACCGAUAGCGCACAAGUAGAGUGAUCGAAAGAUGAAAAGCACUUUGGAAAGAGAGUUAAACAGUACGUGAAAUUGUUGAAAGGGAAGCGCUUGCAAUCAGACUUGCAGGCGGUCGAUCAUCCGAGGUUCUCCCCGGUGCACNCGAUCGUCUUCAGGCCAGCAUCGGUUUCCGUGGUGGGAUAAAGGCUGUGAGAACGUAGCUCUUCGGAGUGUUAUAGCUCACGGUGCAAUGCCGCCUACGGGGACCGAGGACCGCGCUUCGGCUAGGAUGCUGGCGUAAUGGUUGUAAGCGAC